AAUACCAGGAACUUCUGAAACUCGACGGUGUACAGAACUGCAAAGCAAAGCAAAACAACAGCAAAUGAGAUAGAAAAACAGAAAGCCUUAAACAUCAGUCAGAAAUUUCAAGAUGUAGUUGCAUGGAAAGGGUAAAUAAAAUGGUACCAGCGUUUAUAGGACCAUAGGCAUGGCCUGACUGGAUUUCAUCUAGAUAUUCGUUAAGCUUCAUCUUAGUAAUCUCAAGCCACAUUGGACUACAUGUAAAAAUAGUAAAAGUAUCAGGGGCCUCAUCCACUCGACAAAUUGUAAGACCAUCCUGAAAGUUCUCCUGGUAGUAACGCCCACCAGUGGUAUGGCUGGACGGCACAAUCGUUUUCAUCGGCAAAAGAGAACCAAUAAGAUGAUGGACCUGACCACAAAUUUUGAAGAUAUUAACCCCCGCGUGCCUUCCAGCGAACGAAUGACGUCGCCACAAUAGACGUAAAUGCAAACGUCCAACUGUGAUGCCGUAUCUUUGUCAGGAAUUGCUUGGAAACAUGAUCACCAUGACAGGAUAAUAAACGACUCAAUAAAGCAGGAGGAUUUCUGAAAGGUUUAACAACGACUUUUCCACCUUUGCAACAAAGGUUAUAAACAAUUUUACGUAGCACCCAUGAAGAAUAUGGAUUGGCCCUCUCCUCAAACCAAAAAGAAGCCUUGCAGUGAGGGUACUGGUACUCAGGAGGACCAUAGUAAGAUCUGUCCUUAUAGGAAACUACAGAAAACACAAUACUCAAGGAGGCCGUCAUGACAGGAAAAGGAAAAAACAAAACUAACAUCAACCUAAUAGUUAGUACAUUUGCGAUUGUCAACUACCUCGACAGGAAAACCAGUCCAAUCAGUUGGCAAGUCCCCUUCAAACCGAAGAUCUACAUGCAUGUUGUUAUGAGAAACAACAGCCAAAACAAAGAUACUAAGGACGGAAAGACAGGAACCUCGACCAAGAAGACCAGUACAUGUAACACCAUGGCAACGAAGGCCCCUAAGUAAUUUACGCCUCUUCCGAUUUCUAGCCGACAUGGCAGGAGUGAGCACUGGGCAUCCCCUAAAAAAGACAGAACCGACACAAAUGAACAGAUGCAAGCCAAACAAAACCUAAGGAAAUGACCAUAUAGACAACAUACCCUUUCUCUUACGAACACCACAAACACCAACAACAGGAGCAUGCAAAACACUCCGACGGCGAGCCAUCAUCAACAAUGAGCACACAUAUAUGCAAAUACUGCAUAUUAAGACGAAACCGAAGUAAAGACAGCACAGGUAAAUGCAAAAAAGUAUCAAACAGGAGCACAAGAGACAGUAGAGCCAAUUAAAUGAAAUAAUAAUGAUUCAUGCACACAAAGAGCUGUUUAUUACAAGCAUAACCAAGGGAACAAUAUAAUGACCAGACAUAAUCUAUCUAAGACACUCCUAGAUGGGCUUUAGAACCCAGACACCGAAUUGACCAGCUGUGAAUACAAUAAUUGUAAUUGAACACUUGUAUUUAUACCAGCGACAUCAACCUGCCCCCCUGCAUGUACCAGAGGCCAGGCAGGCUGGGCAAGAGCACCUGCAAGCACCAGAACCGACCGUGCAACACCUUUAUACGCUAACAUGCUAUCGUAAUUGUAAUCUGCAACAACAAACCCAUAUAUCCCUUGUAAAAAUUGGUUUGACACCGCACCACGUCAUCCCUAGUAAGAACAUCAAUCUCCACCCCUCCAAGCAGACAACCAUCGGAUGCCACCUCUCGAACAUAAGAAUGAAACGGCAAUCGACAAUAGCUCGCAACAGCCUCAAGCAGAGGCACGCAGGAAGAACUGAUAAUAAACAUGCCUGUAAUAAUUAAUUAUUAUGGAGCAACCGAAAAAAAUACCAACGCAGACCAUACAAAAGGGAAGAACACAGAAGCCUAUGAAAUAAAUAGUAAUAAACACAACUAAAUAGCAAGCAAUAGGAAACAUAGCAAGGCACGACUUACCCUAUGAACCGAGCAGCAGCUCCACCAGUAAGUAGUUUC
rnacentral:lncRNA from 1 species